UACGUAGGGUGCGAGCGUUAAUCGGAAUUACUGGGCGUAAAGCGUGCGCAGGCGGUUUUGUAAGCCAGAUGUGAAAGCCCCGGGCUUAACCUGGGAAUGGCAUUUGGGACUGCAAGGCUUGAGAGCGGCAGAGGAGACUGGAAUUCCUGGUGUAGCAGUGAAAUGCGUAGAUAUCAGGAGGAAUACCGAUGGCGAAGGCAGCCCCCUGGGCUAACACUGACGCUCAUGCACGAAAGCGUGGGGAGCAAACAGG
rnacentral:rRNA from 1 species